GUCCACGCCGUAAACGAUGCUCACCGGCCCUUAGCGAUAAGACAGUUAGGGUUAAUUGAAAGAAUUAAGUGAGCCACCUGGGGAGUACGUCGGCAACGAUGAAACUCAAAGGAAUUGACGGGGCCCGCACAAGCGGAGGAACAUGUGGUUUAAUUCGAUGAUACGCGAGGAACCUUACCUGGGUUUAAAUGUAUGUUGCAUAAUCUGGAAACAGUUUUUCUCUUCGGAGCUAUAUACAAGGUGCUGCAUGGUUGUCGU
rnacentral:rRNA from 1 species